rnacentral:rRNA from 1 species
AUUGGGCGUAAAGAGCUCGUAGGCGGUUCAGUCAGUCGGGUGUGAAAACUUGAGGCUCAACCUCAAGAGGCCACUCGAUACUGCUGUGACUAGAGUCCGGUAGAGGAGUGUGGAAUUCCUGAUGUAGCGGUGAAAUGCGCAGAUAUCAGGAGGAACACCGACAGCGAAGGCAGCACUCUGGGCCGGUACUGACGCUGAGGAGCGAAAGCAUGGGGAGCAAACAGGAUUAGAUACCCUGGUAGUCCAUGCCGUAAACGUUGGGCACUAGGUGUGGGGUCUCGCUAACAGAUUCCGUGCCGCAGCUAACGCAUUAAGUGCCCCGCCUGGGGAGUACGGCCGCAAGGCUAAAACUCAAAGGAAUAGACGGGGGCCCGCACAAGCGGCGGAGCAUGUUGCUUAAUUCGAGGCAACGCGAAGAACCUACCUGGGUUUGACAUGUAGGGAAAAGCCAUAGAGAUAUGGUGUCCCUAGGGGCCCUACACAGGUGGUGCAUGGCUGUCGUCAGCUCGUGUCGUGAGAUGUUGGGUUAAGUCCCGCAACGAGCGCAACCCUUGUCCUAUGUUGCCAGCGGAUAAUGCCGGGGACUCGUAGGAGACUGCCGGGGUCAACUCGGAGGAAGGUGGGGACGACGUCAAGUCAUCAUGCCCCUUAUAUCCAGGGCUGCAAACAUGCUACAAUGGCCGGUACAGAGGGCUGCAAAACCGCGAGGUUGAGCGAAUCCCACAAAGCCGGUCUCAGUUCGGAUUGGAGUCUGCAACUCGACUCCAUGAAGGCGGAGUCGCUAGUAAUCCCGGAUCAGCAACGCCGGGGUGGAUACGUUCCCGGGCCUUGUACACACCGCCCGUCACACCACGAAAGUCAGCAACACCCGAAGUCAGUGGCCUAACUCUUA